CCUACGGGAGGCAGCAGUAGGGAAUUUUGGUCAAUGGAGGAAACUCUGAACCAGCAACGCCGCGUGAAUGAUGAAGGUCUUCGGAUUGUAAAGUUCUUUUCUAAGGGAAGAAGAUAGUGACGGUACCUUAGGAAUAAGCCGCGGCUAACUACGUGGCAGCAGCCGCGGUAAUACGUAGGAGGCAAUCGUUAUCCGGAAUGACUGGGCGUAAAGGGUGCGCAGGUGGUUUGGCAAGUGAGUAGCGUAACCCCGGGGGUCAAACUCGGAACUACUAAUAAAACUGUCGGACUUGAGUGCAGGAGAGGCAAUUGGAAUUCCUAGUGUAGCGGUGGAAUGCGUAGAUAUUAGGAGGAACACCAGUGGCGAAGGCGAAUUGCUGGACUGUAACUGACACUGAGGCACGAAAGCGUGGGGAGCAAAUAGGAUUAGAUACCCGGGUAGUC
rnacentral:rRNA from 1 species